ensembl:lncRNA
GUUCCAUUCAAAAAUUCCUCAAAAAAAGCUUCAAAAAUUCUCCCACUCUGGUCACUGAUUUAGCCAUUAAAAACAUACUUCUGUGUAUCAAAAAUUGUCUAUUUGGAAGUCCUGUCCUGCCUUAAAAUGGCUUAGCUGUACUUUACGUUAUUGCUUCCUGUUACAUGGAUACAUCCAUGAAGUCCCUCCACCCUCAGCAACAGCUCAUCUACGAAUCCACUCAGACACUGUAAAACUAAUAUAGCUUCUACAGUGGCAAGUUGUAAUAAGAGUAACUGUAUGGAAGCGAAUCAGACUCAUCAGAUUAUGAAUUUUAAAAGCUGCUGAAUUUCUUACUUUGAAUUUUUUUUGCAUCAAAAUUACGUAUGUGAAUUUUUUAUGCCUGAAUUUAGCUCAUCAAAAUUCUAAAAACCAGUUAAAAAUUCAAUGUCUUCAAAAUUCACCAUCAAAAAAAUCAAUGUUCAAAAUUCGCCAUCAAAAAAUUCAAUGUUCAAAAUUCGCUGUCAAAAAAUUCGCUGUUCACAUCCGGGGGACUCAGGCGUAAACAAUCGAUCCUGGCCAAAAUCGAACCAACGCCCAGCCAAUCACGUGGCGCUCCUCCGGUCAUGUGACGCAGACGGUUCACCUCACAAGACCAGGGUCAACCACGGCUACAUGCAUGAACGACGGCGCUUCACAACACCGUCUGAACUGACCAGUCUGGUGAAAUUCUGGACUGGAUGGGAGACUCUACCAAGAAUUCUCUCCUCAGAAGUAGUGAACGGCAGAUACCUGACAGCCUCCACCUGCUACGAGACCUUACAUUCCCAGGACGUUACAAGGACCACACAUCAUUUAAGACUGACAUCCUGGCCUGUAUUUGCACUUGCCAGUCAAGAUAUGUUAGGUGUUGUUCUCUAGUUAGUUUUACUUGACUGACAAAACUAAGUGCACUUUUGGAUUCCCUCCCCUACCUGUUCUCCCAACUCACCUGACAGGUUAUCUGGCUCAAGUAUGCGUGUUUCUGCCAUAUAUUUAAAGUAUCUGAAGUUAAGAAUAUUUCUGGUAAACAAUACAUGCAAUCACGGCA